AUAGCGCGGGGCGGGGGGGGGGGGGGACGCGGGCCAGUGCCAAGGAACGAGGGACCCCAAACCGGACAGGCGUUUUCCUUCCCUCCCCCUUCCCCCCGCCCCAGCCGCGCCUCAGUCCCUGCCCAAACUGCCCGUCUCCGGUAGGACUGACUGUCUGCCCGGCCUCACUCUGCUGCCAACCUUGCCCGAAAUCUAGACCCCAGACCCGUGAACAAAAGAAUACCCUCCAUGAACAGCAACUGCAUAAAAUUUAUGGGUCAAAAGAGAAAGCACAGGUUCACACCUCAUCAGAGAAGAAUGAAGAUUUGAAAUCAGAAGCUGCAAGCUAAUGGAC